UGCCCUUCCCCCGGCGCCUUCGCCCCCGCCCCAAGAUGGCCGCCCGCAGCAGCUUCAGCGGCAGCUCGAGGCCGUGCUCUGAUUGGCUGCCCCAGAACACCUGAUCAGCCACGCUGCGCUGAUUGGCCACUGCUGUGAGGGCAGCCCCAGCCUGGCAGCGGCGGCGGCGGCACCGCGGGGAGCCGGCGGCUGCGUUUCCCUGAGGGGAGCAGAACGGCCGCCAAGAUGGCGGCCAAAGCCCCGCUGCUGAGCUGGGAUGUUUUACCAAAAAAUGGUACUGAGGUAUUUUUCUCGCGAGAAACUUAUGAAAAAUACUCACUGGCUCCGAGCCUCUCUGAGCUAUGGACUUUGUCAAACAGACAGGCAAAGAAAAAGGUAGAGGUGUUGGCAAAUGCUUCAGAAGACAAACAGACCUGUAACAUGCAGGCUGCAGAUCCGGUUGAGGUGAAGGCUAAAACUACAGCUGAUGAUGAACCUUUUCCAGAACCUAGACUCCCCUAUCCAUUUACCUCUUGUUUGAGUGAGAAGGAGCAAAAAACAUAUUUAUAUCUGAUGACUAAGUACUCUAAAAAACCAAACCAUUUUCACGUUAAUGCAGCAAGUCAAAGAGAACUAUUCACAUAUAUGCAAAUGAAAGAAUUAGUAAACACUGAAAUUGCAGAAUUCAUGAAAUUUGCCCAAAAUGCUGCAAAAAGCUGUGCCCAAGACUACGAUACCAUCUCUGAAGAUGCACAACUUUAUAUUGAGCAAUUAUUAAGUGCUUGUAUUGGACAUGUGCAAAAGUAUCCUGAAUUUUACACGCUCCAGGAAAUCAUAAGUGUCAUGGGAGGAAAAUUUAACCCACAGUUGACCUUUAGGCUGGAAAAAAAUGUUCUUGCAAUGGGUACAGCAAAACGUGGUGAAACACAAUUCCCUGCCAUGCCUGUUCAGCUACCUGUAGAUUAUAAAACUGUUGCAUCUAUUAUAACUCCGGAAAAAAAGGCUUCUAUUAUGCACAGUGAUAUUAGUUCAGAUUCAAAUGCAGAAAAACUUGCUUUGAAAUACUGUCCUCAAGUUGUUUUAAGUAAUCAAUCAUUAUUUGCUUUACUGAAUAAUCAUGGACUAAACUACAAGGAACAGUGGGAAAUUCCAGUUUGUAUUAAAAUGAUCCCUGUUGUAGAUAGCAAACCAGCUAAAGUGAUUUAUGUUGACUCACCUCUCCUGAAAAAGGAAAUGACAAUAAGAGAGAGGAACCAAAUCUUCCAUGAAAUUCCAAUGGACUUCCUAGCAACUAAAAAGUCUUAUGUAUCAAUUUCUAAUAUAUUGAUGGACAAACCAGCUGAGGAGAAUAAUUUUCAGUGGGAGAUACCUUCUGACACCUACCAGUGCAGGAAGGUUCCCGUUCCAGAUGACCUAGGGAUGGAUUUUGAUGAUGAUGUUACAGAACUAGAAACUUUUGGAGCAGCAGUCAAACUCUCAAAGACUUCUAAAACAGAAAAUACUUUUCCUAGAGUUGGUAACACUGGUCCAGUUUUGUCACGUGAGCUGAAAAUGGACAAAAAAUUGACAUCUACCGUGAACAAUGGAGGUGAAGAGGGAAGAAAUACAGUUUCUGAGCAAGGAUUUUCAGCCAGCAAAGUACAGCUUCCAUCAUUUGGCAUUCUCUGCUCCAACCUUGAAGAAAAUUCAUCUCAUAAAAGCUUUCAUUCAGAGGAGGUAGAAUUGAACAAAGCACAGCACGUCAUGGCAAAGGAAGCAUCAGAAAAUGAAAUGAAAUUAAAUACUUUAUCUAAUGCUGUUGCUUUCAAGGAGGAGUCUGAGGCUGCACAAAAAAAUAAGAGUUGUGCUUCUUUGUGCAGUAGUGACACUGAUGAAGAUCGUUUGAUAAUUGAUACAGAAUGUAAAAAUAUUGAUUAUUGCAAAUCUGCUGUACCAAAUACUAUUUCCAGUACCUCAGCAGAGACUUCCAAAUCACCUUCCUCCAUCUGCAUUCCAUCAGAAGGCAUGGCUGAUUCCUCAGAUAACAUGGAUCAGGGGAAAAAUGCUUCCAGAAAGCCUACAAAAAGGUUGUCUAAAGAAUUUGAUCCAGUUGGACAGAUUUUGAAAAUGCAAACUGAACUCCUCAAGUCACCUUCCCGAAAAGCUCACGAGCAGACACCAGUGAGCUGUGACAAUUCUAACUCUGCAUCAGCCCCUGUGCCUCAGUCUCCAAAAUCAUCGGUGAUCUCCAACACGGAAACUGCACCAGGCCCUGCCUCAGAUCCCAGCAGCUCGUCUAGAAAUACCUGGACGUGGCUUUUCCAGGGACCUCCAAAGAGAAAGCUGCCGAAUGAACUUGAGAUGCUUGUUGAAGACCCUUCAGAGUAUACAGCACCUCAGGAUGGCAACCUCGUAUAUAAGCUAUUCAGUUUGGAUGAUCUGUUGUUACUUGUACGCUGCGAUGUGCAAAAAGUAAAGACAAGGCCACGAUCCCAUAAAAAGAAAACAGCCCAAAAGCCUAUUCCACUAUUCCUGUUGCCAAAACUAGAAUAUCAAGGCUAUUACGGUGUUGAAGCUCUUACAGAAAGUGAAGUAUGUCGACUGUGGACAGAAAGCAUGUUGCAUUCUGAAUGCGCAUUUUAUAUUGGACAUAUUGAUGCUUUUACAUCAAAGCUUAUUAUGCUAGAAAAGAUUUCUCCAGAAAUUUUAAGAGAAAAACUUGGAUUGAUUAAGCCUGCCAAUUCAUUAAAUAUACUUCAUCACAUCUUGAAGAAAGUGUCUGAUUUGCAGGAGGGCUCUUAUUUAUUGACGCAUGCUGCGGGAGAUUCAUCAGUUGCAAUCUAUAAGAGUUCCCUUGACAAGGCGACCAGAGCAUCCUAUAACUUGCAUAAGGCUCACUGCGAUCUGCCUGCUGUACCUGCCAGCCUGUCAGUCCCCUGGGUACCUCUGGAUCCCAGCCUCCCUUUACCCUAUCACAUGAGCCAUGGAAGAGUCCCAUGCACCUUUCCACCUGCACCCCAAGAGGCCGUGCGGAAACAGAAGAUGACUGGGGCAAAAGCACAACUGGACACACCCAGUGAGGGAAGGCCAGUAGCUAUGGAAACAAAAGGCAAUCCAGCUAAGCCUGUUAGAAAUGAAGGUGUGGCUGCAAAGAAACCGAAGAAGAAUUACUGCAAACAAAGACUGAAGAUGAAAAAAUGGAAAAUGAAAUAAAGGAAGUAGGAAUAGCCAAACCUUACUGAGCCUAGCAGCUGGAAGUCAGAGAAGAAUUGGUACUAUGUGACAAAACACCUACUCCUGUGUUGGCAUGUGGGAGCUACCAGCUAACAGCAAGUGACUCUAUCAGCCCCAUGCAGUGAAGUUUAAUAGCAAACACUGAACCAUUUGAAGAGGUGAAGGAUUGUCAUUGACAAAAAGCUGAUCACAACUACUCUGAAUCUCCUGGGGAUCCUCUGUCGAUAAUCUCAAGGCUACUCUAAUUUACAACUAAUUCUUCAAGGCAAACUUGUCCCCAGCCAUAAGACUGACAAGACACCAUUGCCCUAUACCUUGCAGUGUGUUUUUUUUUUUUUUUUAAUCCUUACAAAACUGCAACAAUAAGUUGCCAUUUUCUAAGUGGUUUGUAGAAUAACUUAGUGAAAUAAAUACACUAAGUACGUACAGUAUCAGUCUUAGUGCAGACUGCAGGGCGUUUGUUAGUAUUGAUACUUAGUUCUUCUGUGGAGUAGUAUGCUUACCCAAGGAGCCAAAAAAGGACAUGAAAGCUCCAUUGCUUCUCAAGGCAUCAUGGUAGUUUUGUAUGAAGUAUAACAGUAAAGGCAAUUCAAAGAAAAUUUAACCUUUCUUUUUAUUGUUCAUGAUGAAAAGAUGUCAAAAAAUAUUCAAAGUACAUUGCAAUUUUUAACUCCCAAAUUGGAGGGGCGGGGAGGGAGGGGAAAUAAUGUAAUUUAUAAAGACUGGAAAGAUGGGGCUAUCACCGAACCCAGCAGUAUAUUCCCUGAUUCCUUAAAAUAUAGCAGCCACAUCAUUCUGUUUAUUCACAGCAUGUUUUUAGAGUGUACAUUUAUUUCUUACAACUGCCCUAAUAGACAGUGACCAUUUGUUUAAUUUUCCAUUGGGCAGUAUUCUUGUUCAGAAGAGCCAAAAGGAAAACUAUACUAAUAUUGUUGAGCAAAGCAAUAUAAUCCAAUCAAACAAGCCAGCUUCCUUUAACUUCAGGGUGUCCCCAUCAUAGUUGUAUGGAUACAUUCAAAGCAACUUUUUCAAAAGAUGUGUGAAUGCAUCUCAGUUUCACUAAAAUUUACUCGGAGGUACUUACCUAAACAGUUUUCCACAUAUACGUAAGAUUUCCUGUUGUAAAGCGGUGUGAAUGGCUAGGAUGAUGUUACCUGCCUGUGCCUCAAAAAUAAGUGUGUACACCGUUAGUGCUUCUCAUUUCUUAAUUGCUGCCAAAUGAAUAUAAUUCAUGAAGAAGGAAGUAGAGCAAGCUCUACCACUCCAGAUAGUCAGUAUUGUUUGUACAAAGAUAAUGACUCUAAAAGUGUAAAUAAUUAGGAGUUUUAAUAAACCUUGACAUACUUCUGAGAGUUUUUUGAGUGUUUCAAGGGCAUUUCAAGCCUUUUAACGCUAAAUGUCAGGCGACUCAGGUUAUUGCUCAGUUUAACCCUAAACUGAGAGCUACACGCUCCCAUUCCCCACCACCAUGUUUUUCAAGGAAUCCUAGAUUCUCAUGUAAUUGCUGGGUUUUAGGAAGCGAUGCCUUCAGAAAAACAGCAAAUAGACUUGUGUAGCUAGUAAUACUGAUACUGCUGUGUUCAUGCAGUCAGUCCUUUGCUAGCAACUGCCCGUGUGAGCAUCAUGAGAAUAGAAAGAUUUGUACGUCUAGGUGGAAAAAGAGCUGGUGAAUUCCCCAGCAAAACAACAUCAAAAAUAAAGUAAGGCUGAAUGAAGAUCGAUUGUUAUCUAACUUCAGCUGGUGCACACUAGUACGGUCAUGAAUAGGAAUCUGUUGGCAACAUGGUUAUUCAACCAAAAUGUACUAAUAAUGUUGAUAAGGAGGUCACAGUAGUGUAGACUGCCUUUUCUCUGCACAGCCACAGUCGGAGAGUUUGGGCAUUUCCUUAUGAAGAUCUUCUGUGAUCCUGUAGUCCCUGCUUCUUUGUUCCUUUCAGAAUUUAUGCAGAGUUCUGUAUACAGGUAUCUUUAGAUGAUCAGCUGAAAGAAAGGAGAAAAAUAGACUAGCUUUUGCCCAAGCAAGUGUUUUUUCAGGCUUGAACCUGAAGUAGAAAAUGGCAAAUUAAGUACAUCUUGGAACAGAUCCAGUUGUUGGGAACAGUUGUUUCCAAUUUGUGUUUAGCUUGCUGUUUCUACCUUCACUUUCUGCUUUUAGGAAACACUUGUGUAAGUGAGAUCCUGUCUGUUUUCCCAAAUACAUCUAAAGAAGUCUUGUCCCUGUUAAUCUUGCCUCACCUGAAGUUGGCUGCUACCACUGUCACUGCUGUCUUCAGUGUAUCCAUGCCAUUUUCUUAGAGGAAUGAUGCAGCAUAGCUGGAGUUGCUGAGAUCCCGUAGUGCCUCCCAUAUCAAUUCUCCCUUCUGGUAUGCUUUAAUAUAGAGGGAUGGACACAAGGAUUUUCUGUAGAUAAAUUUGUAAAUAUCCAUGUUAAUACGGAAUGUAGCCAAAUUUAUUCUGUGAUAAAUACUUCUAAAGUAUUUUUUUUUCAGAAACCAUUUAAAACCAUCUACAGAAUAAAGUGAGAAUGUUUGCUUAGAAGUUCAUCACUGAAAAUUGGAUUUGGAGUAAUGAUGCAAGCUGAAAAAUAAGUCUGCUCACAAGGUCAUGGCUCUUAUCUUAAUGCAGACUUUGAGACUUGUUUAUCCAAUAGCUGAGUGAACACCUCUGUGCCAGUCCUCCUGUAAUUGAUGUGUCGCUACUUGCAAACCUCCACCUACUGAAUCUUUGCACAAGCAUUUCAGAUUAAAAAAAAAAUAGGAAGAAAGCAAAAAUAAUUUCUACUGAACUAAGUCACUCUUUGGUCUGUCUUUUCUGGGAUAUACUGCAUAGUAGACAGAGCACUUUAGCAUUUUACAAGUCUGGUCAAAUUCAAGCAUAAAAAGAGCGAAGAAAGAAGUUGUCGGUAUCCCAUUGUUCCUUACCCCUUCCACCAAGGAGACUGUAUAGCCAUGUUAAAAAUUACCUGAAUAGUCAAAACCCAUUUUUUUUCCAAACUGCAUAGGUAAUGCGUCUGGUACUGCAGUUGUGCAGUUCUGUUCCCUUGGUUCACAAAAGGAGCACAGUAGUCUACUGUAGCUAUCUGGGUGUUCUCUGUUAAUAUCUGAGUAAGGAAAUAAAAUGGAAGUAUAAAAUCUGUAGCUGGAUAGCUACAGAUGCUACUUUGAGAGGAUUUUGUAGUCAAAAAUUAGUAAGUGCUUAUAUCAUAAUUGAAGUUCUUUGGCAUCUUUGUGGAUAACCUAAGCAGAAUGCUCAAUAAAUUUGAUCAGAUUGACUGGUUUAAUCCAAAAGCCAAUGUAUUUAGGUCAAGAAAUCUGGAGAGUACAUUGCACUGAUGGUAUCAGUGGCCAUGGGGAAAAAGAAACUAAGAGGUCAAUAGACUUGUCAUUGUAGCCGGUUUUUGUUUUUAAUAACAAACAAUAGAUUUAUAUGCAGGUGCGUGAAUAAGUUUGUCUCCUGCCUUCUCCGGUGAAGAUAAAAAUCUGGCAUGGUAUCUCACCAUAUUUAUCAAAAGAAUGCAUUAUCUUGCAAUUGUAGAAGAUUUUUCCCUUGAGCCCAGAUAGACAGAUUGAGAAGAUAAAACAUCAUACAACUUUCUUUGGCUUUUAAAUACCAAAUAAAUUUCUUGCGGCUUCAUGUUGCUCUGUGUGCACACGUCAGACUAUGCCUUGAACUUCUAGCUUUCCUAUUCUAAAAACUAUCCUGAAAGCUUUCUUUGGUGCAGCCUCCAGCUCCACAGGAAGGAGGACAGCUGUCUGUCUCUCCAUGUCUUGUAGAUUGGUUAGCUAGUCUUGCUGACCUUUUCUCUGCUGCUUUAAAGUCAGUUAUUCUAUACGGAGUGAAGGUUGAUGGUUAUUGAUGUGUUAAUGACUUCCUGCAUGAUAGUAGCAUCAGGAAAGUAAACCUUAGUGUUGAAGACCUGUUUAAAAACCAUCUUUAGUUUUGCUAUCACGGCAGCCCUUUCCUUCAUUUCCUCAGGGUUCUGGAGCUGGUCCCUUUGGGAGCGCUAGCCACUAGUAUGCAGGACACAGCAGUCAGAAAUUGUCCAGUUCCUCUAGAAGUGUUUAUCGGAGGCUUAUGUGAAAGCAAAUACUAAUGAAAAUGUUAAGCGUUACAUGCAGUCCUUCACACUAAAACUACAGGCUACCGAUACGUUUUUCUGAUCCUUUAAAGGCAGAAGUCUCUGGUUUUAGAAUUCAUACCUGUGCUUCUGACAUGGAAAAACAAGUCUUAGCCUGCCUAGCAGAAAUGAAUCUCUUCAUGCCAUUCCCUCACUGAAUCAACUAUUUUUUUAAUCAAGUUACUUUGCCUUAAAUUUGAUCCAAAGUUAUGAGAUGCUACUUGAAAGAACAGAAAAGACAUAAGUGUACAUAGAUUUAAUCAGAAAGCUACCAUUUUUGAACUUGUGACAUUCCUUUGUGUCGCAAGACAUCAGUUGUUCCCCAGGCAAUGCAGCCAAAGCUGACUCUAAUUAGUAAUAAAGUUCAGAUCGUGUAAGAACUGGCUCAAAAUCUGAAGUGGUCCGUGCUGUUCUGUACUUAGAGUUGAUAUAUUUAACCCCACCCAACUUUUCUGCCAUUUCAAAGAACUGUUAAUUUUAACUGAGAUUUGCAGAUGUGUUCCAUGCUGCCGUAGUAAUAAUAUGCAGAUUUUUGUCAGUGAACUUUAAGUGGCAAAUGAUUUUAUAUUUUAAUUGAUUUUCAUGGUCCAUUUCAAAGGUUACAUGUUGUUAACCAGAAAGGAGCAAUUAUUUGCAGAAUGCAGUUACCAGGCUACAAUUUUGGCACAGGAAUACACUGUUUAAGGAUUGUUUAGAAUUUGUUUUAAGAUGAUGCCUAAUUAGACUCCUUGAAACUUUCAAAAUUAUUCCCUAUGUUCUUGGCAACUUAUUUAAGGUGUGACAGCCUCCCCUGCAUUUUGGCAGCGGACAGAAGUUUAUCCAGAACAUGGGGCUGUUUGUAUUGUGAGUCAACAGAGUGGAAAAAGCACAGAAUAAUGGGAGACAAUAGAACAGAGCAGACCUGAUUUUAAAUGAAACCUUUUAACUCUAUUCCUAGGAAAAACUCCCCUGAGGAUUUUUGGCAGCUUCCUUCUUUUAUAGCUGGUUCCAUCCCUUUGGCAGGAGAGACCAAGCUCUGUAGUGAUUAUGCGUGCUGUUCUGUUCCCGGUGAUGUCAGGGACUCUGUGUACACCAGUAAUAUUUCCUACAGUGUUUUCCAGUGUGUUGGCAGUCUGGGGAAUGCUGUUGUAGAGUUGGCAGCUACGAUAAUUUUAAGUACUGUGUCAUCUAAAUGUGUUCAAAACCUCUCCUCAUGCUGUAAUAUACUGGUAGUCUGUGUAUAUACUACCAGCAUUAUGCUGAUGCUGCUGGGAAAACUGAACUCAUCAUAGCAGUUUUGGGAGAUGCAUCUUUUUAACCUAUUAAUGUGUGUAGGACCAAAGACAGGUUGGUAUCUAGUUUCAGAUGGAAUCGCAACUCUCCAGCCCCUGAGUAGAGUAAAUUGUGAUUGAAGUUACUCAUAAUAAGAUGAGAAUAGACAGUGAGGUUGAAUUAGAAGUGAUGUCUGAGCAACGCUUUACAGCCAUUGUGGUAUCAUAGAUUGCAUGAUCUUAGGAUAAAAAGGCAAUUGGCUAUCGAGCAGGGCAUGAGGAAAUCCCCUUGGAAUUGAGCAAAUUCACUGAAACAUGGUUACACACAAAGUGACUGUUUGUUUGUACAUCCUGUGGCUGUUUCAUUCACUGCAAAGAUGCUGAGUUUAUUCAUGCUGCCAAUACCAGUGCAAGGAAUUUGGCAAGUGUGUUUCACUUCUGUUUGUGUAUGUAUCUAGGCAACCUCUCAUAGUCAGACACUGGAUUAUUACUUCCCUGCUGCGCACUGAAACACCAAAAUGCUAGCGAUUAGCAUUUUAGUUUAGAAAACAAACUGAGCUUGAGUAUUUCCGGAUGCUAUAAAUACUUCUGAUAAAUGUGUGCCAGAGCCAUUAUGUACAUGCUAAAGAACAGAAAAGUGUCUGCAUUGCUUGGUUAUCAUUUGUUCAUGAUGUGUAUCACUCACUGACUCUCUUUGUCACAUAAGUAUGUGUAUGUCUGCUGACUUGGCUAUUGGCAUGUCAGUCAGUAGUCAGGAAAAUGUGAUAGCCUGGGUUUGGUCACAGGGUACCUUCUGAAGUUGCUGGCCUGUCUUUGAGAGCACUUAUUGUUUGUGUCGGCUAGGUGAGAGUAACGAAGAAUCUUCCUUCCUUUUGAACUCUUGCCUGGAGCAUAGAUGAUUUCAUGUUGUUUUCUGUUAACAGCAGACAACCAGCACAAAGAGAUUUCACCAUGGUCGUUCAACCUUGAUGUGUUCUUUGGCUACUGGUGGUGACUUUAACUGGGGUGUGUGUGUGUGUGUGUGUG